AUUGAACGCUGGCGGCAUGCCUUACACAUGCAAGUCGAACGGCAGCACGGGAGCAAUCCUGGUGGCGAGUGGCGAACGGGUGAGUAAUAUAUCGGAACGUGCCCAGUCGUGGGGAUAACGUAGCGAAAGCUACGCUAAUACCGCAUACGAUCUAUGGAUGAAAGCGGGGGAUCGCAAGACCUCGCGCGAUUGGANCGGCCGAUAUCAGAUUAGGUAGUUGGUGAGGUAAAGGCUCGCCAAGCCGACGAUCUGUAGCUGGUCUGAGAGGACGACCAGCCACACUGGGACUGAGACACGGCCCAGACUCCUACGGGAGGCAGCAGUGGGGAAUUUUUGGACAAAUGGGCGCAAGCCUGAUCCAGCAAUGCCGCGUGCAGGAUGAAGGCCUUGGUGUAACUAGCUUUGUACGG
rnacentral:rRNA from 1 species